rnacentral:rRNA from 1 species
AUGGAUGAGGUCACAAGGGGUAUACAAGGAGAUAUCCCAUGGAGUAUGCUCUUUGCGGAUGAUGUGGUGCUAGUUGACGAUAGUCGGACGGGGGUAAAUAGGAAGUUAGAGUUAUGGAGACAAACCUUGGAAUCGAAAGGGUUUAUGCUUAGUAGAACUAAAACCGAGUACAUGAUGUGCGGUUUCAGUACUACUAGCUGUGAGGAGGAGGAGGUUAGCCUUGAUGGCCAAGUGGUACCUCGGAAGGACACCUUUCGGUAUUUGGGGUCAAUGUUGCAGGAGGAUGGGGGUAUUGAUGAAGAUGUGAACCAUCGAAUCAAAGCCGGAUGGAUGAAGUGGCGCCAAGCUUCUGGCAUUCUCUGUGACAAGAGAGUGCCACAAAAGCUAAAAGGCAAGUUCUACAGGACGGCGGUUCGACCCGCAAUGUUGUAUGGCGCGGAGUGUUGGCCGACUAAAAGGCGACAUGUUCAACAGUUAGGUGUGGCGGAGAUGCGUAUGUUGAGAUGGAUGUGUGGCCACACGAGGAAGGAUCGAGUCCGGAAUGAUGAUAUACGAGAUAGAGUUGGGGUAGCACCAAUUGAGGAGAAGCUUGUCCAACAUUGUUUGAGAUGGUUUGGGCAUAUUCAGUGCAGGCCUCCAGAAGCUCCAGUGCAUAGCGGACGGCUAAAGCGUGCGGAGAAUGUCAAGAGAGGGCGGGGGCGACCGAUUUUGACAUGGGAGGAGUCCGUUAAGAGAGACCUGAAGGAUUGGAGUAUCGACAAAGAGCUAGCUAUGGACAGGGGUGCGUGGAAGCUUGCUAUCCAUGUGCCAGAGCCAUGA